AUUGCUUCCAUCAAGAAAGUACGAAACCAUUAGGAUUAUAACAAACAUUCAAAAAAGUUGUAGUUUUGUGUUCCCUUCAUUUUCGACCUGAUGGCUUGACGUAUGAGUCCAAAGAUUCAUAUCCCAGACGGAAGGGUUAUAAAGCCUCGAUUAAUGGCGAAUACCGUUCCUUGCAUCUAUCGGAACUUGCCUCGCUAUCUCUCGAUCUUUCUAUCAUCAAGACGCUCAACAACAGCGGCUCUGUCUACACGUCGCUUCCACAAAGAGAGAGAAAGGCAAGAAUCGGCUUGUGAAGCUUUUUUCAAGGCUGAAAAAUCACUCCAUUUAAAACUGUUAGCUCCUUGUUGAAAAAUAACUACCCAAUUCACAUCUCAGAAGUAAUUAUAUACAUUCAAUGCCUAGAUACUUAUUUAUAAUAUGUAUUGCCCUUUUGAAAAUAAUUUUACUCUCCUCAUUUCAGAAGAAAAAAUUCAUUUGUAGGUUUUAAGUUCCUCAAAUCAAGUCCGAAACCAUUAAUAUUCUCCUAUUUUGUGAGAGUCUCCCGUUGUGGGAACGAGGGAUAACUAUUAAGGACGAUUAUACCUCCAGAGCUUUCAUUAACGGCUCCAUAGUACCUCUUUAUAAACUCAAACACAUCGUUAACAAAAAAGGAAUACUUAUGGAGACUCUGCAGAUCCCUAACAUGUUGUCUCUGUUGAAAAGCAUCAAAAUUGACAAAGAAAAAUUUUCAAUACAGGAGUUACGAAAAACUUACAAGAAGAAAUUAAACAAAGUGUUUUUCCCGAAGACAAAAAUAUUAAAUUGGAAUUUACGUUUGAGUAAUGCAAUUGUACUCUCCGAGCUCGAAUAUACUCGGCGACCUUGUUAGGUAUAUCAGCAGUACUUAAAACAAAUUCCUUUGCAUGGUAUAGUACUCUUGUUAAUGAACUAUUUUUGAGUUUUCGAUCUCCCAGAACUCUUGACCGAUGGAUGCAACCUUUAAAGGUUGGAACAGGAUUUCAUCCUCAUAAGAAGGCCUACAUGAAGCGCAGAGCCCAAGACCUGAAUGAACGAGAGCGUGUGGUGAUCCUCCUUCUUGAUUAAGUUUAAUGUGCUCAAAGAGUCGAGUUUUUGGGAGGAAAAGUCACCAGAUUAAGUGAAUGUGACAAAGUGACGAAAACAAUAUUUUGUUGGAUGAUAAGUUUUCUUGGCGGUUCCUUUCAUGAUAUUUGUUAUAUUAAUUGGGUUCCACGCCUUGAAUAGUGACAAAAUAAAUUAUAUAGUUGAUACAUUGACUCGAGACCUUGAAGAUAUUGGAUUUCACGCUGUGACCUGUGGAGUCGAUAAUCAUGCAAUUAAAUCGCAGUAAUGUCAAGAAGGAAAUUGCUAAUGGGAUAUUCUCUCAUCCUAAUAGCACUGAACGGAAAUUUUUCAGAAUUUUGACCCAACUCAUCUCUUCAAAUGUAUUCAUAAUAAUUGGAUGGUUACAGGAAUGCUUCUUUUGCCACGGUUUCGUUCUCAGAAUAUGGGAUCUCCAAAGUUUGCUCACAUCCGAGAGUUAUGCAAUAUCGAAAUUACAAAAAGGACUAAUAUUGCUCGGCUUCUUACUGAAAAAUGUCUAGCACCUACGCCAUUGAAGAGAACAUUGGUACAGCUAGCCAAUGUGGUAUUCCACGAAAGUACGGAGGCUAGCUUAGAGUGGUAUGCAGAUCACGGCUAUCCUCAUCUUUAUCAGACCGCCCUUUUUAUACGAUUUAUUCGAGAAUGGUGGAACUGCUUGAAUGUUAAGCAGUUGAUUGCUGUUGUAAGACUUCGAGAUCCUUCAAGAGAAGCGAUUUCGGGUAAAAGUUAGUCUACCAUUUCUUUUCUUCAAGAUCUUUCUACCUCUUUGAGUGAUUGGGAAAAAACAGCCAAGGAAGUAGAGAGAAAAAAAAGAAGACAAGUACAAGUAUUAACUCCUCAAACUUUUUACUCCGUGCAUCACUCAACUAAAGAAGUACCUACAAUGGCACUUUAUUUGAUAGAUGUCUGGAACUUUGAUUUUGUCCUCACUGGAAAAUUCCAGUCUUAUUAAAUCGAACAGGGAUUUGGACGUUAUCCAAGGAUAACAGGGGCAAAUUACUACAUUUACAUCCGGCAAUUUCUCCAAGCUGAAAAACCUCUUCGUUUGAGAGCCUUUUUAAAGUACACAGAGGUUCCAAUCACGGAGCUGUCAAAUAGAUUUGAAGAAGCUAACUUUUUUAAAUGUUAGAAAGACUUGGAUUUUGCUUUGGACAUCUGCAACGAACUAUGCAACUCCGAAAUUUGAUUCGCUAACGCAGAUAAUGCUUUGACUACGACUUUUUAUUAUAUUAGUGGUUUUAUUGCAAGAUUUGUUUAAAAAAAUCUCUUGUUCUGCUUGCCGGAGCCACUGAGUUGAAGAAAGCUCUUUCAACUUGACAAGUACCCAAGCUGCAAUGGAACAAGAAGCCGAUAAAAGAAGUCUCAUUGAGUUUGUAAAUAGAGGAGGGCUGAUUACUCAGUCGAACUUGCUUUAUUAAAUAAUUUACUAUAUGAACAAUUUUCUUCUUUGCAUUAUGUAGCUGCAAAAUUAAAAAGAAAAAUUGUAAGACUGUUCCUCUGCUACCAAUAUAUUCAGCUCUGCCGUGUAUCAAAGAAUAAUUGGCUACGAAAAUGCUUUUUCAAUUCAAGAUAAGGAAUGCGAAUCGUAGCACAAGUUCCAGGAAUUAUUCAUCAAGAUUUCAAGCAAAGUUUUCAAUGUCAACAUCCAAAACUUUGUGAGGUCUAAAAUGAUGAUAUCCGCUUAAACCUCAAACGAAAAAAAGAAAAAUCAAGUAGUAGUCAAAGAAAAGAUGCUACAUUAUCCUGACCUACACUCGUACAGGUAAAAAUUGGUGUCUAUUCUAUCCCUUUCUUGGGUAAAACAAUUCGAAAAGGAGGGCUGACCCGAUGUAUGUUAUUGAUAUAUUUCAAUUUACCUUGCUUUUAUUCUUUUAGUUCAAUAUUAUGUAACUACUGCUCAUUCUUUUUUUAUAAAAUUUUAAGCUAUUUUGUGGCUUUGUUUUGUUUAUUUUUUUAUUGUCAAAUUUUAUAUAAGGAACGUUUACUUGAAAAUGGAUUUAUUACUAACUUCAUAUAUAGCAAUUUCAAGAUGUUUGACUUUGGUCUAUGGGAUAAAUUUUAUACUAGAAUGUUUAUUCAGAUGUAACUUCUCUAAAUAAAUAAAGUCAUUAAAAAAAA
rnacentral:lncRNA from 1 species